UCCUCCCUCUUUCUUCGUGCUUAACACAUGCAAGUCGAACGGAAAGGCCCUGCUUUUGUGGGGUGCUCGAGUGGCGAACGGGUGAGUAACACGUGAGUAACCUGCCCUUGACUUUGGGAUAACUUCAGGAAACUGGGGCUAAUACCGGAUAGGAGCUCCUGCUGCAUGGUGGGGGUUGGAAAGUUUCGGCGGUUGGGGAUGGACUCGCGGCUUAUCAGCUUGUUGGUGGGGUAGUGGCUUACCAAGGCUUUGACGGGUAGCCGGCCUGAGAGGGUGACCGGCCACAUUGGGACUGAGAUACGGCCCAGACUCCUCCGGGAGGCAGCAGUGGGGAAUAUUGCACAAUGGGCGGAAGCCUGAUGCAGCAACGCCGCGUGCGGGAUGACGGCCUUCGGGUUGUAAACCGUUUUCGCCUGUGACGAAGCGUGAGUGACGGUAAUGGGUAAAGAAGCACCGGCUAACUACGUG
rnacentral:rRNA from 1 species